UGGGGAAUAUUGGACAAUGGGCGAAAGCCUGAUCCAGCAAUACCGCGUGUGUGAAGAAGGCCUUAGGGUUGUAAAGCACUUUCAAUUGGAAGGAAAAAAGUGAGGUCAAUACCCUCACUCUUGACAUUACCUUUAGAAGAAGCACCGGCUAACUCCGUGCCAGCAGCCGCGGUAAUACGGAGGGUGCGAGCGUUAAUCGGAAUUACUGGGCGUAAAGCGUGCGUAGGCGGCUCGUUAAGUCAGAUGUGAAAGCCCUGGGCUCAACCUGGGAACUGCAUUUGAAACUGGCGAGCUAGAGUUUGAGAGAGGUAAGUGGAAUUUCAGGUGUAGCGGUGAAAUGCGUAGAGAUCUGAAGGAACACCAGUGGCGAAGGCAGCCCCCUGGGAUAAUAUUGACGCUCAUGCACGAAAGCGUGGGGAGCAAACAGG
rnacentral:rRNA from 1 species